CAGCCGUAAACUAUGCGCGUUAGGUGUACUGGUGACCACGAGUCACCGGGGUGCCGAAGGGAAUCCGUGAAACGUGCCGCCUGGGAAGUACGGUCGCAAGGCUGAAACUUAAAGGAAUUGGCGGGGGAGCACAACAACGGGUGGAGCUUGCGGUUUAAUUGGAUUCAACGCCGGAAAUCUUACCGGGACCGACAGCAACAUGAAGGCCAAGCUGAAGACUUUGCCGGAUUAGCUGAGAGGUGGUGCAUGGCGUGUGACUGU
rnacentral:rRNA from 1 species